UACGAAGGGGGCUAGCGUUGCUCGGAAUUACUGGGCGUAAAGCGCACGUAGGCGGUCUUUUAAGUCGGGGGUGAAAUCCUGGAGCUCAACUCCAGAACUGCCUUCGAUACUGGAAGACUUGAGUCCGGGAGAGGUGGGUGGAAUUCCUAGUGUAGAGGUGAAAUUCGUAGAUAUUAGGAAGAACACCGGUGGCGAAGGCGGCCCACUGGAUCGGUACUGACGCUGAGGUGCGAAAGCGUGGGAGCAAACAGG
rnacentral:rRNA from 1 species